GCUCAUAGUAACUGCGCCAAGACAACAGAGAGCUUCUUUCAGGAGUGGCUUAAAACUCUGGAGAACAAAGCUUCACAAACCUCAGAGCGCUUACAUAUCACCUGGGGAAUUGUUAAAAGGCAGGUUGCCAUUUAGCAUGUCUGGGGCGGAGCCUGGGACUCUAUUUGGAUGAAAUUCAGAGGUGAGGCUGAUUCCGCACGGGGCGGGGCAGAGGGGGGCGGAGCGGCGUGUAGUCAGAGUUAGAGCAGGAGAGGCAAACUGGUGCUUUGCGUUCCCUCCUAGCCUGAGAGCAGAAAGCCCUACGCUGGGGCAGGAUGAGGGCCCUACCUAAUAACCUCACCUUCU
rnacentral:lncRNA from 1 species